rnacentral:rRNA from 1 species
GAUGAACGCUGGCGGCAUGCUUAACACAUGCCAGUCGAACGGGAAGUGGUGUUUCCAGUGGCGAACGGGUGAGUAACGCGUAAGAACCUGCCCUUGGGAGGGGAACAACAACUGGAAACGGUUGCUAAUACCCCGUAGGCUGAGGAGCAAAAGGAGAAAUCCGCCCAAGGGGGGGCGCGCGUCAGAUUUGCUAGUUGGUGAGGUAAUAGCUUACCAAGGAGAUGAUCAGGAGCUGUUCCGAGAGGAUGAUCAGCCACACUGCGACGGAGACCAGGAGCAGAGAACAAUGGGAGGUAGGAGUAGGGAAGAUCCAGCAAUGGGGGAAAGGUUGAGAGGGUAAUGGGGCGGGGAAGUGGAAGGAGUAGGGGGGGACAACAGUUAGUCUAGGAGAAGAAAUAAUGACGGUACCUGAGGAAUAAGCAUCGGCUAACUCCGUG